CCUACGGGUGGCAGCAGUGGGGGAUAUUGCACAAUGGGGGAAACCCUGAUGCAGCGACGCCGCGUGUGGGAAGACGGUCUUCUGGAUUGUAAACCACUGUCCCCAGGGACGAAAAUGACGGUACCUGGGGAGGAAGCUCCGGCUAACUACGUGCCAGCAGCCGCGGUAAUACGUAGGGAGCAAGCGUUGUCCGGAAUUACGGGGUGAACAGGGGGCGUAGGCGGGGAUGCAAGUUGGGGUGCAAAACUACCGGCUCAACCGAUAGUCCCACUCAAAACUGCAACUCUUGAGUGAAGUAGAGGCAGGCGGAAUUCCUAGUGUAGCGGUGAAAUGCGUAGAUAUUAGGAGGAACACCAGUGGCGAAGGCGGCCCGCUGGGCUUUUACUGACGCUGAGGCUCGAAAGUGUGGGGAGCAAACAGGAUUAGAUACCCCUGUAGUC
rnacentral:rRNA from 1 species